rnacentral:rRNA from 1 species
GUCAAGUCGGCAUUUUUGAAUGGUGUGUUAGAGGAGGAAGUUUAUGUAAAACAACCUCCAGGUUUCAUCAAGGUGGGUAGUGAAGAAAAGGUGUUGAGACUCCACAAAGCUCUGUAUGGUUUACAUCAAGCUCCGAGAGCGUGGAACAUUAAAUUAAAUGACACGCUGAUAUCUCUCGGAUUUGAGAGGAGUCCAUUUGAGCAUGCUAUGUACAAAAGGGGGGAAGAAAAAUCUCGCCUAAUAGUUGGAGUAUACGUGGAUGACCUACUGAUAACAGGAGCGGAUGAGCAAGAAUUGGCAAGGUUCAAA